UGAGGAAUAUUGCGCAAUGGGCGAAAGCCUGACGCAGCGACGCCGCGUGGAGGAUGAAGGUCUUUGGAUUGUAAACUUCUGUUAAGUGGGAAGAAAAAAUUGUUUCUAAUACAAGCAAGAAAUGACGGUACCACUAAAGAAAGCACCGGCUAACUUCGUGCCAGCAGCCGCGGUAAUACGAAGGGUGCAAGCGUUAUUCGGAUUUAUUGGGUGUAAAGGGUGCGUAGACGGCAUGUUAAGUCCGCUGUUAAAUUUCCCGGCCUAACUGGGAGCCAGCGGUGGAUACUGAUGUGCUAGAGGAUGGAAGAGAGAAGUGGAAUUCCCGGAGUAGCGGUAAAAUGCGUAGAUCUCGGGAGGAACACCAAUGGCGAAGGCAGCUUCUUGGUCCAUAUCUGACGUU
rnacentral:rRNA from 1 species